UAAACAUGCAAGUCAAACGGGUAGCAAUACCAGUGGCGAACGGGUGAGUAAUACAUGGAUAACCUACCUUUAAGUUGGGGAUAACACAGAGAAAUUUGUGCUAAUACCGAAUGUGACGGUUCAGCAAAGGCUGGAUUGGUUAAAGCAGCAAUGCGCUUAGAGAUGGGUCCAUGGCUGAUUAGCUAGUUGGUGGGGUAAAGGCCCACCAAGGCGACGAUCAGUAGCCGGCCUGAGAGGGUGAACGGCCACAAUGGAACUGAGACACGGUCCAUACUCCUACGGGAGGCAGCAGUUAAGAAUCUUGCUCAAU
rnacentral:rRNA from 1 species